rnacentral:lncRNA from 1 species
UCCUCAAUAGUUUCAAAUAAUUUCUAGAGGUUUUCUGAAAGAGAUUCUGCUAUGUGGUAUAGCCUUUGUUUUGACUGACAUUUAUCUACUAUGAUUUCCAGGAGUACAAUAUCUAAAGAUGGCAUAAAAUAGGUUGGUAUUGGUUAGCUGAAGAGAUGGAGGACCACUAAGAGAUAAUCUGCUAGUAUGUUUCCUUCUUAUUCCACUUCUCUUCCUUUUGUUGUCAAUGGUCUGUAUCAACCUCUUGGUUAAUAACUGAGGGAGAUCUCAUUAUACUCUCAGCAUCAGCUGGGAAUGUAGUUUACAGUAUAAAAUUAGAUCCUCACUUCUAUCUGUCCUUGCAUUCUUGUUUCCAAAACAGAGAUGAAGUGAACUACUGCUGUUCUUGGUAGUCUGUCAUAUUCUUUCUGAUAUUGUCCAACCAUAGAAAGGAGACAUAAAGGAAGACACGCGGAAAAUGAACAAUGUAAUCUAGAUUUGUAGGAGCAGUUCUGCAAAAAGACAGCAUAAGGACAGAUAUUUUAGAGUUGCACUAUACUUGGUUGACCAAUCAAUUUCCAUGUUUCUAUUCAUACACUCUAAUUUGGGCUUACAGGAACGGAGUAUCUCUAUUCUUUUAACAAUUCAAGUUAACAGCUGAUAUUUUGGCAUAGAUCCUGUGAGUUUAAGAAGAUAUGGAAUAAAGCCAACGCAUCUCCUGGUGGACACAAAGUCCAGGGAGAGCAAAGUGCAGAGAGAGCUUAUAGCAUCACUAAAGGAAGACUAUGGCUGUGUUCUGCUCAGAAAGAAGGCAAAUUGCUUCUGAGGGUUCAUAGCAAUACCAGGCAAAGUAUUUCACAGGUUUUCAGCGGUGUCAGACUGACUGUACUGCAGUAAGCAGGCAGGAGAGCCUCCAGCACACUGCUCUCUAGUCCUGGUUACAGCCUGCAGCCUUAUGAUCCUGCCUGCAGUCAAGAAGUGCUUAGCUCCAGCACGUGAGAUGCUGGCUCUGAAAGACACAGUGCUCACUCUUCCCAUCCCCACAGUUCUACCCUGAACAUUACUUCUGGGCUGCCUCAAAAGAAGCGUGGCCAGCAGAUUGAGGAAGGUGAUUCUGCCCCUCUACUUUGUGCUGGUGAGACCUCACCUGGAGUCCUCAGUGCUGAAGAGACAUGGUCUUGUUGGAGUACAUCCAGAGGAGGGCCACAGAAAUGAUCCAAGGGAU